UUGAAUUUCAGAGAGAUGGAACACCCCAACCUUAUGAAGAGUGGUCCUCAAAGAAGGGCCCCAGAAGAUAAGAAUCAUGUAUCCAGCACAUUCUCUUCAUAUUACAGAUGGAAAAAAGGCAUCUCAGAAAGAGGAAACUGACUUCCCAAGGUCACACUGAAAAGUAUUGCAGAGAUGGGACUAUGGACACUCAGGCCACCUGAACAUCUGACCUCCACCUCCAUCGGUUCCCAUGCUCCCGCCAGCUGCGGCCUGCCGCCCACAAAGUACUUGAGCAUUGCUCCAAGUGACACAUCGACCUUCAAGUCCCCCCC